AAGGAUUCAAAAGUCGAACAGACUUAUUUAAUGAACUUCUUCACCCACCAAUUACCUUAAUUCAACAUCGAGGUCGCAAUCUUUCUUGUUGAUAAGAACUCUUAAAGAAUAUUACG
rnacentral:rRNA from 1 species